AAGGUACACCAACACCCCAGUCACGAUCCAGAUGGACAUCACAGAUAUCAGAGCUCCCAGAAUCUCUACAAAUGUGUUCACUAUGAGCUACUGUUGUAUGGAAAAAAAAGCAUGAAAAAAACAGCAUUUGGAACAUCAUAAAGGACUGAGAUGGAAACUCUGGGAUGGACUUACCUGAUCUGUGCCAGCCAAAGUUCAUUAUCUUGGUUGGUGGUCUUGAGGAGAUCCACAAGGAGAAAAGACUGACCAUCAUACUGCCAAAAUCAGUCAGAAGGUGGGCUGCAUCAGUCAUAAUGGCUAGACUGUGCGCUAGAUAACCACCUGCAUCACAAGUACAGCAGAGAAUAAGAAAUAAGCAUCUAUUAGAGAGGUACACUCUUAAAAAUAAAGGUUUCAAAUGAAUCACAGAGAUGCCGCCACAACCACUUUUGGUUCCCCAAAGAACCUUUUUUUCUUAUUGUAAAGAACAUA